GAGUUUGAUCCUGGCUCAGGAUGAACGCUGGCGGCGUGCUUAACACAUGCAAGUCGAACGGGAAUGCCACGCUGAUGCGAUUUCGGUCAAAUCAUGUGGCAUUCGAGUGGCGGACGGGUGAGUAACGCGUGGGUAACCUGCCUUACACAGGGGGAUAACACCUGGAAACAGGUGCUAAUACCGCAUAAGCGCACAGGGCCGCAUGGCCCGGUGUGAAAAACUCCGGUGGUGUAAGAUGGACCCGCGUCUGAUUAGCUUGUUGGCGGGGUAGGGGCCCACCAAGGCGACGAUCAGUAGCCGGCCUGAGAGGGUGGACGGCCACAUUGGGACUGAGACACGGCCCAAACUCCUACGGGAGGCAGCAGUGGGGGAUAUUGGACAAUGGGGGAAACCCUGAUCCAGCGACGCCGCGUGAGUGAAGAAGUAUUUCGGUAUGUAAAGCUCUGUCAGCAGGGAAGAAAGAAAUGACGGUACCUGACCAAGAAGC
rnacentral:rRNA from 1 species